rnacentral:rRNA from 1 species
UACGGAGGGUGCAAGCGUUGCUCGGAAUUAUUGGGCGUAAAGGGUAGGUAGGUGGUCUCAUUUGUCUGGGGUGAAAGCCUUGGGCUUAACUCAAGAAGUGCCCCAGAAACGGUGAGACUAGAGUCCUGGAGAGGGUCGUGGAAUUCCCGGUGUAGCGGUGAAAUGCGCAGAUAUCGGGAAGAACACCCGUGGCGAAGGCGGCUCUCUGGGACGGUACUGACGCUGAGACGCGAAAGCGUGGGGAGCGAACAGG